GGGUCAGUAGGUUGGUCGUGCCAUCGGUACGUACUGGUCUCACUGAUUCCUCCUUCCUGAAGAACCGUAAUGCCAUUAAUUUGGUGUUGCGGGGAAACAGGACUGUUACUUUGAAAAAAUUAGAGUGUUUAAAGCAAGCUAACGCUUGAAUACAUUAGCAUGGAUAAUGAAAUAGGACGAUCGAUCCUAUUUUGUUGGUUUCUAGGAUUGACGUA
rnacentral:rRNA from 1 species